AAACCAACAGGGAUUGCCUUAGUAGCGGCGAGUGAAGCGGCAAAAGCUCAAAUUUGAAAUCUGGCUCUUUCAGAGUCCGAGUUGUAAUUUGAAGAAGGUAUCUUUGGGUCUGGCUCUUGUCUAUGUUUCUUGGAACAGAACGUCACAGAGGGUGAGAAUCCCGUGCGAUGAGAUGAUCCAGGCCUAUGUAAAGUUCCUUCGAAGAGUCGAGUUGUUUGGGAAUGCAGCUCUAAGUGGGUGGUAAAUUCCAUCUAAAGCUAAAUAUUGGCGAGAGACCGAUAGCGAACAAGUACAGUGAUGGAAAGAUGAAAAGAACUUUGAAAAGAGAGUGAAAAAGUACGUGAAAUUGUUGAAAGGGAAGGGCUUGAGAUCAGACUUGGUAUUUUGUAUGUUACUUCUUCGGGGGUGGCCUCUACAGUUUAUCGGGCCAGCAUCAGUUUGGGCGGUAGGAGAAUUGCGUUGGAAUGUGGCACGGCUUCGGUUGUGUGUUAUAGCCUUCGUCGAUACUGCCAGCCUAGACUGAGGACUGCGGUUUAUACCUAGGAUGUUGGCAUAAUGAUCUUAAGUCGCCCGUCUUGAAACACGGGAACCAAAAAAACGGAC
rnacentral:rRNA from 1 species